UGGGAACGCGAAGAACCUUACCUAGACUUGACAUCCCCUGAAUUACCUGUAAUGAGGGAAGUCCCUUCGGGGACAGGGAGACAGGUGGUGCAUGGUUGUCGUCAGCUCGUGUCGUGAGAUGUUGGGUUAAGUCCCGCAACGAGCGCAACCCUUAUCCUUAGUUGCUACCAUUAAGUUGAGCACUCUAAAGAGACUGCCCGGGUUAACCGGGAGGAAGGUGGGGAUGACGUCAAAUCAUCAUGCCCCUUAUGUCUAGGGCCACACACGUGCUACAAUGGUGAGUACAACGAGAUGCGAACCCGCGAGGGGGAGCUAAACUCAAAAACUCAUCUCAGUUCGGAUUGCAGGCUGCAACUCGCCUGCAUGAAGCUGGAGUUGCUAGUAAUCGCGAAUCAGCAUGUCGCGGUGAAUACGUUCCCGGGUCUUGUACACACCG
rnacentral:rRNA from 1 species